AUACUGCAAGUCGAGCGGACAGAUGGGAGCUUGCUCCCUGAUGUUAGCGGCGGACGGGUGAGUAACACGUGGGUAACCUGCCUGUAAGACUGGGAUAACUCCGGGAAACCGGGGCUAAUACCGGAUGGUUGUUUGAACCGCAUGGUUCAAACAUAAAAGGUGGCUUCGGCUACCACUUACAGAUGGACCCGCGGCGCAUUAGCUAGUUGGUGAGGUAACGGCUCACCAAGGCAACGAUGCGUAGCCGACCUGAGAGGGUGAUCGGCCACACUGGGACUGAGACACGGCCCAGACUCCUACGGGAGGCAGCAGUAGGGAAUCUUCCGCAAUGGACGAAAGUCUGACGGAGCAACGCCGCGUGAGUGAUGAAGGUUUUCGGAUCGUAAAGCUCUGUUGUUAGGGAAGAACAAGUACCGUUCGAAUAGGGCGGUACCUUGACGGUACCUAACCAGAAAGCCACGGCUAACUACGUGCCAGCAGCCGCGGUAAUACGUAGGUGGCAAGCGUUGUCCGGAAUUAUUGGGCGUAAAGGGCUCGCAGGCGGUUUCUUAAGUCUGAUGUGAAAGCCCCCGGCUCAACCGGGGAGGGUCAUUGGAAACUGGGGAACUUGAGUGCAGAAGAGGAGAGUGGAAUUCCACGUGUAGCGGUGAAAUGCGUAAAGAUGUGGAGGAACACCAUUGGCAAAGGCGACUCUCUGGUCUGUAACUGACCCUGAGGAGCGAAAACGUGGGGAGCGAACACGAUUACAUACGCUGUUGGUCCACACCGUAAAAAAUGAAAUGCGGAAAUGUUGGGAGGUGUCCCCCCGCCAUUGCUGGCAGCGUUUCCACGUUUCACUCGGACCGCCCGAGGGUAACCCGGGGCGUUAACAAACAGAAAUGAA
rnacentral:rRNA from 1 species